GAUUAAAAGCUGUGUGUUCUGUUAGAACUGUUAUAGUGUUUAAACAAGGAAGUCUGUGUUUGUUUAAGAGAAUGGGGAAAUGGUUAUCUUGACAGAUUAGACUGAAAAAACAGGACAGCCACAGUCUAGCACAGAUGUCCACAUUUGCCACUUGGCUGGCUUUUUGAGGUAUUCUAAACAAAAGUGGCUUGUGUGCUGGUGCUGGAGCUCUGCUUGGCACCUGACUGAGGAAUGUGAGUCAGAGUCACUGCCAGGCCCUGGGUGUCUUUGUGGGCACGUGUUCCCAGGUUUGAAAUUUUUCAGAGUCUGUUUAACUGUGUCAUAAUUAAUGGAACACAGGAGGGAUUUCUCUUGCUGGCUUCCACACCCCGUUCCAGGGUGAUUUCAUCUCACAUCACACGUGGUUCCUGUGGCUUCACUGAGCAGAAGCCCCGGGGAUGACCAUCUUCAUCCAUCUUUUACAAGCUUGAUCUUUAACUGGAGGAAACAUGAGGGGCAGCUGUGGUUAAGUGGCAAACGCAUGGGAAGAAAAUUCAGGACCCCUGAGUCCAGCCAGAGCUCUCCCACUUGCUAGCUGCUUGGUCUUGGUCGGGUCCUCAUUUUCCCUCCUAGGGUCGUGCAGCUGUGGUGGAUGAGACGGAUGAGGGCAGCCCAUGCUUAGCGAGCCUGCCCUGUGUGCUUGGCCCUGCUGCAGGCUCUGCACGUGGUGCCUCGUGCUCUCCUCCAAAGAGCUUGCUGAGGUGUUUUGAGCACCUGGUUGGGCAGAUUACAGAGAAUCCAGCCCUGCCUAACAACACGAGAGGGAAUAUUGUCUUCUGUUAUUGGUGCCUGAUACUCUGGGACCCAGGGGAGCUCACAGGAGAGAAUCAGGCUGAAACAUCUCUGAAAAUUUCUUCUGUGUGUUGGACAUGUUCUUCAGUAGCACUUACUGGAAACUACAGAAAUUGUGGCUCUGAGCUCAAAACAAUCAAUAAAUCAAAGGUAACAGCUGAGGAAGUCUCAGAGCAUUCCCCCGGAAACUUGGCUUCUUCAGUUCCUCCACUAGAAACAGAGCUCUUUGUCUUUGGGGUUGAUGAGUAGGUAUAAAGGCAAUUCCAGAGCCAACUGUCAGAUAAAGCAAAUACAGCUCAUACCCUAUCACGACAAGGUCGUGUAACACAGAGAACAGCUUUAAGAUGAGCUUUGAGUAAAGUCAGAUGAAGAAAAGCUUGUAUCCAGAAAAAAAGAUUGAGAAGAAAAACUCCACCUUACCUGAGGAUAGAGGGAUCAAAAGGAGUCCACGACUGGUGAACACCAGCAAAUCGCCCUGUUUCCAUAAUGACUUCUUCUGUGAUUGAAUACAAUGGCAACUUUAAGGGCAACUGCAAUAACAGUUUCUCAUGAAAAAUUAACAAAGAAUUUAUGGAAAUGUAGGAAAGUCCCAAUGCAAUUAGCUUAGAUUUCUCUGGAGUCUGAGAAAAGCCUGGAUAAUUGCAUGCAGAAACUGCAUAAAGGAGCUAUUUUCAUUAUCGCUGGAUACAGAGGGUCCAUUUUCAUCACAAUGGGAUAUAAUGAUGUUAAAGCUAACAGGAAGAUAUGUUUAAAAAGGUUACAACACAGUUUACCAAAUGGUUUGAUUUAUGUAACUUGGCAGAAAUACACUUAAGAUUACCAUUAAGGGAACUGGAGAGGUUACCCUUGAAAUUUCCAAAGGCUCCUAUAGGAUGAGAAAAUAUAUGACCAUUUCUGAAAGCUAAUUGUACGUUACCACUAGGAUGCACAAGGAUGAAUUUAAUUUGUCUCAGGAUUGAGGGCUGAAUUGUCCUACAAGCUGGCACAUGAAUAUCCAUUCUAACUUGACUCUGUUGUAAAUUGGCUAUUAUGGAUGUUUAUAGGUGCACUUAGGGCUGGGUUUCUCUCCCCGGAUGUCUUUGAAACUCCAAGGUCCUGGCACCUUAUGGCAGCAGAAGCAACAUUUAGAAAACCCACAGAGCCCUGACUAGGCCUGCAGAGAGAUUACAUGUCCUUAUUUAAAUGUCAUGAUUUUCAGUUAAAAUGAAAUGAAGAGCAUCAUCUUUUUUUCUGAUAGUCAUUCACAAGCAGUUUAAUGACUCUUCCCUGUUUCAAGAAUGCCAUCUUCUCCUUGGCCAUCAGUAAAGAAAUGGAGAAAGAGAUAUAUAAUACAGUGAGUUUUUAUCAACCUCCAGUGUCCUCUGCAAUGUCACACACAUAGCUCUGGAUAUCCUUUGCUAUCUAUAAAAAACUGUAGUGAAGGCUGCACCUGGGAUUCGAAUGAUUCCUAAAACCAUUAAAUAGAUUCUUGCUAGGAAACCC
ensembl:lncRNA